rnacentral:rRNA from 1 species
GGGGAAUAUUGGACAAUGGGCGAAAGCCUGAUCCAGCAAUGCCGCGUGAGUGAUGAAGGCCUUAGGGUUGUAAAGCUCUUUUACCCGGGCUGAUAAUGACAGUACCGGGAGAAUAAGCUCCGGCUAACUCCGUGCCAGCAGCCGCGGUAAUACGGAGGGAGCUAGCGUUGUCCGGAAUUACUGGGCGUAAAGCGCACGUAGGCGGCUUUGUAAGUUAGGGGUGAAAUCCCGGGGCUCAACCUCGGAAUUGCCUUUAAGACUGCAUCGCUUAAAUCCAGGAGAGGUGAGUGGAAUUCCGAGUGUAGAGGUGAAAUUCGUAGAUAUUCGGAAGAACACCAGCGGCGAAGGCGGCUCACUGGACUGGUAUUGACGCUGAGGUGCGAAAGCGUGGGGAGCAAAC